rnacentral:rRNA from 1 species
AUUGAACGCUGGCGGCAGGCCUAACACAUGCAAGUCGAGCGGAUGAAGGGAGCUUGCUCCUGGAUUCAGCGGCGGACGGGUGAGUAAUGCCUAGGAAUCUGCCUGGUAGUGGGGGAUAACGUCCGGAAACGGGCGCUAAUACCGCAUACGUCCUGAGGGAGAAAGUGGGGGAUCUUCGGACCUCACGCUAUCAGAUGAGCCUAGGUCGGAUUAGCUAGUUGGUGGGGUAAAGGCCUACCAAGGCGACGAUCCGUAACUGGUCUGAGAGGAUGAUCAGUCACACUGGAACUGAGACACGGUCCAGACUCCUACGGGAGGCAGCAGUGGGGAAGAUUGGACGAUGGGCGAAAGCCUGAUCCAUCCAUGCCGCGUGUGUGAAGAAGGUCUUCGGAUUGUAAAGCACUUUAAGUUGGGAGGAAGGGCAGUAAGUUAAUACCUUGCUGUUUUGACGUUACCAACAGAAUAAGCACCGGCUAACUUCGUG